UAACGGAGGCGUUUACCAAGGUUGGCUAUCCCGAGAUGGAAAUUCGGGAGAUAGCGUAAAGGCACAAGCCAGCUUUACUGCGAGACCUACAAGUCGAGCAGUCGCGAAAGCGGAACUUAGUGAUCCGACCGUACGAAAUAGGACGGCGGAAGCUCAUCGGAUAAAAGCUACUCCGGGGAUAACAGGCUAGUCACGCCCAAGCGUCCACAGCGACGGCGUGGUUCGGCACCUCGAUGUCGGCUCGUCGCAUCCUGGGGGUGAAGAAGCUCCCAAGGGUUUGGCUGUUCGCCAAUUAAAGCGGCACGCGAGCUGGGUUCAGACCGUCGUAAGACAGGUCGGUCUCCUAUCCACUAUGGUCGUGGAAACUUGAAGAGGCCCUUCCUUAGUACGAGAGGACCGGGAAGGACGAAGCUCUAGUGUGUCGGCUGUUCUACCAAGAGCAUUGCCGGGUAGCUACCUUCGGUUAAGAUAAGCACUGAAAGCAUCUAAGUGCGAAGCUGUCUCUAAGAUUAGGUUUCAUAGACUGGUUAGAGAAUAUAACCUUGAUAGGCCGUACGUGUAAGUCCAGUAAUGGAUUGAGCGGAGCGGUACUAAUAAGUCGUUAGAUUUUCCCAC
rfam:Candidatus Falkowbacteria bacterium CG1_02_37_21 cg1_0.2_scaffold_3768_c, whole genome shotgun sequence.